CUUGCCACCACACGCUUAGGGUCAGUUUUUUUAUGGCUUUUUUAAGCUUCUAGAAUAAACCAAAAUAUUUUUUUUAGAAGCCUACUAGUCAAGCCUUAAAUAAUAGACUUUAAAAAAAUUGUAACAGCUGGAAUAUUUUUUUAGAAGCCUAUUAAUCAAGUUUUAGAAUAAGCCAGCAAAAGAACUGGCCCCUAGACAAGCGUACGUGCAGACGCGUAGUAUAGGUAUCAGUAACAGCUGUACUGCAAGAAUGUAGAGCAACUAGUCCGUGAGUUACGGAUAUGUAACAUCUGAGUUUGAUUACUAUAACGGCUUCAUUGCAAAAUUUUGAGUAUAAUCCUAAUCUCAACAGUGUAGGCCACCAAAAAUAGCUUGCUGACUGACUCAUGGUAUCUCUCGUCAUAUACUGGUCACUAUCAAACAAGCCGAAGCAACAGCCAGGUUUUCUAUCGGAAACCCAUGGUUGCAGAAUGAAAUGAUCCAAUAGCGUAUAUUGGUUAUCCUUCCAGGAGGCCUAGUUCUUGUUGUUCUUCUUCGAAAUUUUUGGGUUCUUGGACAUGCGGAUGCUCUCAGGUGUAACCUCGACUAGCUCAUCUUCUUGAAUAUACUCUAUGCAGUCAUCCAGACUGUAGCUUAAAGGUUCAUCAAGAACCACUGCAAAAAAGAGAAUAAAUUAUUUGAAUUAACCACACUUGAUAAAAAUAAGGUUUCAGUUAAGGUGAAUCUAAGUGUAUAAGGACAUAUCGCUGCAAUAGGGUAUUGGCCCACUUAUCACUUUUCCGAAAGCAUAAUCAAGUUUUAAGUAUGCCCGAGGACAUGUCAACAUUUUCAAUAUACUAAGGCCCCGAUUGGUUCAGCGGAUUGGGGCCAAAUGCCCCGGUGUUUUAUGGAGCCGAAAGAAAAAACAACCCGUCCCAAAAACAGUGCUUGGCAUGUCAUUUAUGUUUUAUUUUGCGCCUGUUUUGUUUCCGUUACGCCCGGAAAGAGUUUUGGAGCCCAGGAGACCCAAUAGAAAUACCAGGAAGCAAAACGAUGGGUAGCUCGAGGGUGCCCAGGACACAAGGAGUAUCCUAAAACUCGGCUCCAUGAUGUGUAGCAUGUGUGUCUCCACAAAAACUUUCAUGGUGACCCGCCGGCCACCCCUGCUGUACUACCCGCCAUUGAGGAUGGUCGUAUGGUGAUCAUUUGCAUUGUCGUUGAUCUACGGACAUUCUAUUACUGCCGAGUAUUCUUUGCCGCCAGCUUCUUGUGAUAUGAUCUUUGGGACAUGCUUCUCUAUCCCUCUUUGGCUUGACUCACAAGUUUUCGAAGACCCCAUGUUAUGACGACACUCUCAAGACGCAGAUUUUAGAUUUUCACUACUUUUUUAUUACUAUCGAAAAAGGCUUUCGCCCCGCUUUAUAUAUAAAGCAACGAUCAUCAACAAUCUAGUACAGACACACGCCAUCACAACACGCGCACACACCCAAGGCAUGAUACAUAGGCGCUGAGCGCAGCAACACCACCCAACACUACAAGGGCAACCAGGGUCUUCAACUAUGAACACGCCACCGCAAAGAGAUGAAGCCACAUACGACGAACCGUGGGCUCCAAGACGCCGCCUUCGGAAAGGUUACGACACCGGAGCAUCGCCACCGCCCCAUCCGAGGAUCAGAGUUUCCCCNNNNNNNNNNNNNNNNNNNNNNNNNNNNNNNNNNNNNNNNNNNNNNNNNNNNNNNNNNNNNNNNNNNNNNNNNNNNNNNNNNNNNNNNNNNNNNNNNNNNAAAGCCUCUGAGGAGCUCCGCGUAUCGCCCUCAACCUCCACAUCGGAAGAAUCAAGCCGGGAGACCACAACACCCUCGCCACCGCCGUCUCCAACCUCCAGACCCGUUGGAUCUCGCGUCACCGAUUCGUCGGCAAGAGGGCCUCCCCGAGCUCGCCGUUGCCCCCAUUCCCCUCGUGGUGAGCCGCAGAGCCCAUUUCUCCUCUCCUCAUGGCCCUCGUGUGCCCCUAGCUAUCCUCCUGGCCGGAACCCGAGCCCCUUGCCGCUGGAAAUGGCGUGGCCGUGGCCACAAUCACCACGGAUCGCGCCCGAGCACUCCCGCGUGCUCCUGGAGCCUCUAUGAUGCUGCCAAGACGCCUAGCUGGUUUCCCCGUGCAGCGCAACACUGAAACCACCAAGUCCCAAACUCCGGCCACCGCAAGGCUCGUCGCCGGUGCCAGAUCCGGCCACCCAAGCUCCUCAUGCCGCCCCUGCCGGACGAGGCGCUUCGCCAACUCAUUGUAGCUGCCAAUCGCGCGCAAAAUGAUGGUAUGUAGCAUCGAUUAGGGCAACUCCGGUGAGCCCCCGCCGCAGAUUUGGUCACCGCUGACCAUACUCCGACGGGCGCCGACAUGGCGUGGUCAUUAGGCCUAAUCGCCCGCCAUCAGGCACUCACGAGCGGGCCCGCGGGUGGUCAAACCUCCAAUCAGGGCGAGUCGGCAUGGGGAUUAGCCCCGGGUCACUAACCAGUGGCCCCCACUAGUCAAGUUUGACCUGGACCGCCCCUGUUGACUGCUGACGCAAGGCUCAUGCAAUAAAACAUUUUCUGGAUUAAAAAUAAAUCAGGAAAUUCCAGAAAAUAUCCAAAACUUUGAAAAUUAAAAGAAACUCAAAGGAAUUUGAUGGAAAAUAAUAGAAAAUGUCUCCAAAUGAAAUAAAUAAUAUUUGAUUUUUGUUAGCAAAAUCAAAGGAAUUUGAUGGAAUCAUUUUCAUGCAUGUUUGAACAAAUUAACUUGAUGGAUAGGACAAUUUCACUAAAGGCAUUUAAAUGCUUAUAAAUGGGUUUAGAAUUGAACUAUAUUGAUCAAAUAACUCCCAAUUAACUUGUGGUCACUUGCAUUAGACAAAAUCACUAACAUGUUAGCAUGCCAUGCUCAUGCAUCAUUGUGAAGCAUUUGCCGUGUUUAAUUUGUUCCUUGUUUGAUCUUGUUGAUAGACUUGUGAGAUGUAGUUAUCACUGACAUCGAAGAACAGCUAAGUUCUUCUGAUCAACACGCAAGCAACCCCCCUUGAGCAUUCCAAUAUAAUCCUACUUUCUCGCUCUUGCUCUCAUUUCAAUGUAUUAGGACAAGAUGAUUCAACAGCUACAUGUGUUACGGUAGAUGAACCCUUUCCUUUGCAUGACCUGUCCUUGUCACAGUAAAUAGCUAAACCAAGCAACCUAGCAUACCUGGGAGAUGCUUCAGCGAUGUUGUGCCAUUACCCUGUUAUGCUUGCUAUGCUUAGAGUUAAGUUGGUCUGAUCAUCUGGAUGAUGAAUUUGAAUGAUCAUGUUCUACUGAUGAGAGUUAAGUGUGUGAACCUGUUUUGGUAAAGGUAGCAAUGAGAGGCCAUGUAGGAGUACAUGGUGAGUUGUCUCGUUGAUGCCGCACUUACGACCCGAGAUCUUGUGUUGGUGUUCUAAGACUCGCUACUACCGCACAUUUGGUUCCGGUAACUCGGCCUCUUGGCCUACUAACUACUCUGUUCUCAGUCCAGGAGUCGCAAUAGUUCGAAACGUUCAUAGGUUGUGGCACAACCUAGUGAGUGGAUGAAUGGACCAAUCGGGACCGGAUUGGGACCCUGCUCACAUCGUUUGAGGCCAUGUUGGAAACCUCGGCCGAACUUCCAUUAUGGGUUCCAACUCAGAUAGGCGACUGCCUUGGAUGUGAGUCAUUGUAGGUUAACAUUAGUGGCUGACUCCCUCGCUGGGCUUCCGCUUGAAGGUUCCCGAGGUGCUUGUUUUAUGUGCACAUGUCGAUAAGUGGCGGGAGCAUGUGUGACGAAGUACACCCCUACAGGGUAAUUAUCUAUUCGAAUAGUCGCGUCCUCGGAAAUGGACUACUUGGAUGCUUGCAUGGUUCAUAGACAACUUUAAUGGAUACUCUAAAAAUGGUCCAGAUAAGUGUGAGUGUUAUGGAUGGCCUUCUCGUAGGAGGACGAGAGAGGAUCCAUGGUGGUGUAUUUAUGUGGUGAAUAUGUGGACUCGUGUACGCUCUCUCGUAGGGAGAGGAGAGAGGUAUGAUAAACUAUUGUAGUCUAGAUUAGCCAAAGGCCAAAGCUGGCAUUUCUACACUAAACCCCACAAUCCCAUCCAUUGAUAUAUGAUGCAUAUGUAGUCAGUUCUGAUGUAAGUCUUGCCGAGUACCUUCGUACUCACUGUUGCUUAUUACAUUUUUGCAGAGAUAGACGUUGUUCACUUUACGUUUUCCUCUUGAUGUUGACAUCGAUGGAAUAGGUUGGGAACCCAGAUAGUGGUCUGGCUCCUAUGCUAGGGUGGAUGUAGCUUAUCAGGCUCUUCCACCCGCUUUUAGUAGAUGUCUGUACCCAGACAUGUAACUUCGGCAUGUUGUUUGUAUGCACUGAAUGUUGGGUCAUGUAACCCCCUAUUUGUAACAUUAUACUAUGUUGGCUCCUCGGAGUCUAUUAAAUAAAUGAUGUGUUGUAGAGUUAUGUUGUGAUGCCAUGUUGUAUCUACACAUAUCGUGCAUAGUGUGUGUACGUUUGAAAUGCAUUGGUAUGUGUGGGAUUUGACACCUAGUUGUGUGCCUAUGGUAGCCUGCUCUACAAGAAAAUUCCUCUUUGUGCUUCCACUGAGCCUUGGUAGCUUGCUACUGCUCCGGACAUAUUGAUUGGCCGACAUGUAUCCUUCUUUUCUACUGUGUCUGUCCCUUCGGAGAAAUGUCACACGGUGUAAUGGAGUCCAAGUAGCUUGCUACGACUCGUCUACACACACUGGUGACCGACUCCUGCUUUGCGGGGUUAUGUAUGCAUUUUCUUGUAUGGUCGUGCCACUUGGGUCUAUAACUAGUCAUGUCGACCCGGGUUCUCUGUCGUUCGAAUGUUGGCGACAUAUACACAUACGUGAGCCAAAAGAUGCAAACGGUCCCAACCUAGGUAAGGUGGCAGUCGUGGAGUUAUCCGUGCGUGAGGCGGCAAAGCGAUGUGUUAUGUUAUAGAUUCGGUUCUUAUGACUUAGGAUCAGGGUCCCGACAUCGUCGGUAUCANNNNNNNNNNNNNNNNNNNNNNNNNNNNNNNNNNNNNNNNNNNNNNNNNNNNNNNNNNNNNNNNNNNNNNNNNNNNNNNNNNNNNNNNNNNNNNNNNNNNACUCAACUUUGUACUAACUUUAGUACAAAGUUAGUACAAAGUUGAGUCACUUAUUUUGGGACGGAGGGAGUAUAUAUUUACUCUUAUAACAUGUUCUGAAAAAAGUUUUGUUUGAACUUUGCAGAUUGGGGAAACUAUAGCUGAUAAAGUUUCUGGAACAGCGUUGCCCACUAUCAAAAUUGAGGAACCAACAGUUAGAAUGUCUUUCUCCAUCAACACUUCACCUUUUGUUGGAAAAGAGGUAUCUCAAAAGUUAACUUUAACUUACAACGUUUUAUCCUUAAGUUUUUGGAUCUUCUGCUGGAAUAAAAAGAGAUUUAAAAACUGGCCAAGAGAAUCUUAAUUAUAAACACUUUUGUUCCAAAUGAGAGUAAUGUUUGUACUGCACAUGGUAUGACCACGUAGGUGAGCUAAAUAGAAGUAGUGCUACUCUUUCCUGAAAGUGAAAUGCUUAGGAACUUGAAGUCAGUGUAUUACACAGAUGUAAACUUUACUCCAUUGUGUUCCAACGUGGUGGAAAACGAUCCAUUAAUUAUUGUAACUCUUUUGUCGAGUUAAAUGACCUAUUCUCAUUCAAUACUUUACAGUAAAGUACAGUAGUUGAGUUUCUUCUUUCUUAAUCCUGAAACUAUGUCUUUCCCUUUGGUUUAUCCCAGGGGAAAUUCGUCACUAGCCGAAAUCUCCGUGAUAGGCUAUAUCGUGAGCUUGAAAGGAACUUGGCUAUGAAAGUAGAAGAUGGGGAAACUGCUGAUACAUUUCUUGUCAGUGGCAGAGGCACACUGCACCUCACCAUAUUGAUAGAGAACAUGUAAGAAUUACUAUCCUAUUGACAUUAUCCACCACUUGGUAUGUUUUCUAAUUUUGGUAUUGUCUUUAAAACAAAAUAAUUGCUUACAGGCGGAGGGAAGGAUAUGAGUUUAUGAUCGGACCUCCAAAGGUCAUAAACAAGACAGUAAAUGGAAAGCUAUUGGAGCCGUAUGAGGUAUUUCCCUCCCUAAAUGGCAGAACUGAAUUUUUGUAUAUUUUUGAUUUGAUAGGUAUGUUCCCAUGCGUUGUCACGGGAGACGUAAGUUUAUAAUGUAUAAAGGCUAGGUCUGUGUUAAGGUGGAAGUGGACGUAAUUCCACCUUAUAUAGGGACAGGCAGGAAGAACCUGUUAGAGUUAUAAUAUAAGUCAUGUACCCUUUUGUAUUUAUCCCAAUAUAUAAGGGGUUUCCUGCAUAUAGUCCAUCACCUGUACAUGUAUAUAUAUCGGCCUAUGGCCUCAUGGGAAUACAAGUUGCAUAUUCCUAACAGAACCCAGGAUUAUAAUUUUGAUUAUGGCUCCAUUAUAAUUUGGUAGCCUGGGUCAUGCAUGCUAAGUAAAUUAACGUGAUUGAGUGGCGUAUGGGAAGGUGUGGUAAAAUAUAUACAUGCGCCACGUAGGCAGAGGUUAAGGGCUACAGACAGAAAUGGCAUUUGCCCUGUAUUUGCAAGUCGGGGUAAGUUUGAGAACAAAAAACGUGUAUUCUACAACUUUAUUAGGUACCAAAGUGACCAUCGAGCGCAAGUUUAGGCACUCCCAGUACAAUUUACCUCUUUUAAUUUCUAAAAGGACUUCUGUGACAUUGAAAUUGCUCUGGGUACAUCUGGAACUCCUUUAUUGUCGGUUUUCAUGUUACUAAUCUGUUCUUAUUACUAUGAUACAGAUCGCUGCUAUAGAGGUUCCAGAGGAAUAUAUGGGAUCAGUUGUCGAGCUAUUGGGGAAAAGGCGUGGACAAAUGCUUGACAUGGAAGCUAGUGGGUUCGUGCUGUACUCUAGAUUAUCCACACUCGAAACAUCUUAGCAUUUUUCUUUGAUACAGAAGAGGAAGAAAUGAAGGCUGUUCCAAUUUAACUAUAUUGCAUGCAUCGUUGCCAGUCUACUACAAAUUGCUUGUUCCUGAUAUUGAAUUGUUGCCAUAACGAGACAUUUCAAAUGGCAGGCCAGAGGGAACUUCAUUGCUGAAAUACAAGGUUCCAACCAGAGGCCUCAUUGGGCUCCGGAAUGCAAUUCUAACAGCUUCUAGGGGCAGAGCUAUACUUAACACAAUCUUUGACAGCUAUGGCCCGUGGGCUGGAGAUAUUAGUUCACGUGAUCAAGGCUCAUUGGUACGAAUAAAUGCCAACCCACAGGAAACACAAAAGAGUUCUUAAGAGAUUGUUUGUUUGUCAUAGUUGACAUAAGCAUGAAGAUUUUUCUUGAAGACAUUUUCUUUCGAAACAGAGUAGUAAGUGGCUGUAGGAAAGUUUAUAAGCUUCCUAUCCUACAAAGUCAAACAAGCUAAAUUUCUCUUUGAGUCGGUUCAUUAAAAUUAAAGGAGGCUAUAGUAGGCAUAUUGUAGGAUCCGAAAUAUGUUUAGAGGGGGUGAUUAGAUUACUUGACCAAAUAAAAAUUUAGUCUUUUCCUAAUUUUAGUUGUGGGCAAGUUUUAGCAAUUGUAGCAAGUCAAGCACACCCUACACAUGCAAAUCUAAGAGUAUAGGAGCGGAAAGCAAAGACAUGCACAUGUAAGUAGAGGGUAGGGAUAGGAAAAUCAAACACAAAGAUUGACACGGAGAUUUUUGGCGUGGUUCGAUAAGUGGUGGUAUCGUAUGUCCACGGUAAUGGAGACUUAAACCCACGGAGGGUAACGGCCGCGAGAGACCAGGGAGUGCUCAACCUACGAAGUGUCCACGGAUAAGCAACAUUGUCUAUUCCAUCAUGGCUUACAUCCACGAAGGGCUAGCCUCAUACGGAGUACAUCUUCACGAAGUAGGCGAUCUCCUUGCCCUUACAAACUUCUUGGUUCAACUCCACAACACGAAGUAGGAGGCUCCCAAGCGACACCUAACCAAUAUAGGAGACACCACUCUUCAAAAGAUAAUAGAUGUGGUAGUAUGAUAAACUCCUUGCUCUUAUGUUUCAAAAGAUAGUCUCCUCAACACUCAAUCACUCUCUCACAGAUUUGAUUUGGGUAGAAGAGAUUGAUUGGGUGGAAAGCAACUUGGGGAGGUUAGAAAUCAAGAUUCAUAUGGUAGGAAUGGAAUAUCUUGAACUCAACACAUGAGUAGGUGACUCUCUCAGAAAAAUGGAUGGUGCAAGGGUUGGUUCGUUCUGAGUGCUUCCUCUACGAAGAGAGGUUGGUGGAGGGGUAUAUAUAGGCAUCUCCAAAAAUCUAACCGUAACAACAUUAUUGCCCAACUCGGUGAAAGCGAAGUAAAAACUCGGUUGCGCCGACUAGUGCAAAAUGUGACAACUUUUGGCGUUUCGGUGAGACCGAUAUAUGAAUCACGGAGGGUCCGAUUUUGGCCGGCCUAGGCAGUUAGCAAACUCGGUGGCACCGAUUUGCAAAACUCGAAAAUUCCGAUUUUAGCAAAUGGCUAACCGGGAGUUGGUCACUGUUUUUCGGUCAGACCGAAACUGGACUUGGUGGUACCGAGACUCUAGGGUUUGGCAUGGGAUCUUUCUAGGGUAUUACUCGGUGGGGCUGAAAUGGAAAACUUGAUGGCACCGAAUUUGACUUUGUGGUUUGGACAGAAUAUCCGUGGGAGAAUUUAAUGAGUAUUUGGGUGGCUAAUCUCUAAGCACUUAAGCAACCAGAUCAUCAUAGUCACCUCAUCCCCUUUUAAUCGUAUUGGUUUUUUUAUGGACUCGAAAGUGAUUUCUCACAAAAUAUAAAAUUUAGAGUCUUCAAGCUUAUUGCCAAUAGAUGUUCCUUGCAUCUAGGGGUUCUCGUCACAAUCCUUAGCCAAUUCGUCAUUGAACUUUUUCUGAAAUAUACUAGAUAGAAUCAUUAGUCCAAUAACAUAUAUGUUGUUAUUAAUUACCAAAACCACCUAGGAAGAAGUUGUGCUUUCACACAUAGGCCAAUAUUGACGAUUUGGUUUCACUUGGUUAAUGAAAAAGAUUAUCACAGGAAUUUAGUUUGAUUCAAUGCAUGGAUGAGUGAUAAAGAAUGAUAACUCCUUAUGACUUGGAAUAACAAUUCUGUAUAAAAUGGAAUGAUAAUUCUGUAUGGCGUGGAAUGAUAAUUCAGAUAGCAGCGUCCUAAUUUGAAGAUCAAUACAAUUGAAAAUCUGCCAAUAGACUACUACAUUAUGCAAUACUAAAGGUAACACGCUGACAUAGAAUUGAAGGUGUUUCACGUAGACUAUGAAUUUGUUUUGUGCUAUUACAGAGAUGGCGUACAACAGGCUGGCCUUGGUGCAGCGGUAAAGCUGUUGCCUUAUGACCAUGAGGUCACGCAGGAAACAACCUCUUGCAGAAAUGUAGGGAAAGUCUACAUACAAAAGGCCUACAAGUGGUCGGACGCUUCCCUAAACCCUAAGCGGGAGCUACGUGCACCGGGUUGCCCUUUUUUAUUACAGAGAUGACGUACACAUGAACAUCCACAUGACAUGCGACAUGCACACACGAGCCCGCCUUCACUGGCUGGAGCUAAGGAACCCUAAGAAUAAAUCUGUGAAUCGCACAAGAUCUGUAUAUAUUGUAUCUUGUAUGAAAGACGUUUCAUUUUAGCAAGUAUAUACAUAGUAAAAUUAGACUACAGAGUUUGCACUGACAACUUUGAAAUCCUAUAGCGUAUCAUUUCAAAUUUUAUGCAUAACAUAAACCGGAGCAUUAGAAACCUAUCUCCAAUACAACAUGUCUCUGCAUAGGCCAAACAUGCUCUAGAAAUUGCAUGGUUAAUUACACGUGUCAUUUUUUCGUUUGGUCCUUCCAGAAACUGAAAAUUAGGAAAUGUCAAACCCAUCAGCUAUAUCUUAAACAUAAUUCUUGUAGGGAACGCCAACUAAUUUUACUAACAGACUGUUUACAAACUUAUCUGCCUACCUAUUGUGCCGAACUUAUUUACCUAGUUUGGCUUACAGUUUUCUUCAACAUCUAACAUAGUGGGAAUGAUCCAGGUGGCAUUCGAAGGUGGAAGUACUACUUCUUAUGCUUGUGUUAAUGCACAAGAAAGAGGUAUACUAUUUGUCAAACCAGGGCAGGAUAUUUACAAAGGCCAGAUAGUUGGUAUCCAUCAGCGACCAGGUGAUUUAGCACUUAAUGUGUGCAAGAAAAAGGCUGCAACAAAUGUUCGUUCGAACAAGGAAACUACAGGUGAAAUUUCAUAAGCAUUCAAUGCUUUGAUAAUAUUAUUUUCUAGAAAGAACUUGGAACAAACUUUAAUCACCCUAGCCCUAAUAGAAAGUAAAUACUCUGAAUUCUCAUGCUUUAUUGAUCGUGGGAGAAGCCCAUUAUAUAGGGGGGUUGCCUUCUUUUUUGAAAGGUCAAGACAGUAGGAAAGGCUCCUCUUGACACUUUAUAUUAAUUUCAGCACUCAGUGCAUGUAGUUACAUCCAGGCCAUCCUCACACCAACCUGCCCUCCACAGUGCCUUUUUUGGGACACUUGAAAGGUAGUUUGUGGAGGCAGGCACACUAUGAAGCUAGUAUUACAAGAGUUCUAGGCUAAGGGUUUUUAGGCAAAUGUGUUUACAAAGUGGGUAAUAAACCCUACGAGAGGAGGUUUAACUCAUGAACCAGGAGGCCAAAAUCUGUCUUGAACCUCUCGUGCCAGCACUGAUACGAUGGCUGGAUCCUCCUGAAAAUUUUAUCAUUACGUUCCUUCCAUAUGCUCCAUGCAGCCGUCAUAAACACUUCCAUGAACAUUCGACGUGUCCAGCGCGCCCUUCCAGAAUGGAUUAUCCGUAGCCUAUCAUCGUCACUGUACCAGUGGAAUACCUUGGGCUGUGAAGACGACUUAGAGGAAAUACAAUGACUCUGAAACGGAUUCUAAUCUGGACUCUGCACCUAAUACGAAUCUGAACCUAAUGAAAUAGCUUAUAGUAGUAUAGGAAUCCUAACCACUUUGAGCUGGAUCAUGGGGUGGUGUGGCCAGGGCUCGGGCCCUCCAACUGAAACGAGGGGAAACACCAAUGUCCUCGUUGUGGCUCCACGCAUAACAGCACGUCCUCGAGCCGAAACGGGGGGAAACAGCAAUGUGUUAGAUGAGCAACUUGGAUGUAUUGCAUAUCCCAAGGUGCAAAUAUAUAGUACAAAUGACUGGGCAUACAAGCAAGGACAUCUGGACUAAUAUGAAUACGCGAGGGGACCUAAACUUACUACUACUCCUUAACAACCCUCCUCAAAUGCAAAGCGUAUGCAAUAACAUUACAUUUGAAGAAGUAUAACACUAAAUCAAAUGGUAGUAUUUUCCCUAAUUAGACCUCGUGUCGCACUCCUCUAGCGAGUCGUGGGGCAAUUCCUCAAGCGCCGCCGCCGGGUCCUCUCCCUUUCCCUUCUCGUCUUGCCGCCGCCGCCGGCGAAGCCCGGGCGAGCUCCAGUGAGGGCGGCGGCGGGGCAUCUCCCUAGGCAACCUCCACCCCUCUCCUCCCCUCCUCGUUGGGGCACGAUGACGCGCGCCAGAUUCGCGAGGCCCUGUUGGAAGCGGCGGUGGUCCACGACGGGCGGCGGGCAGGGCUCUGCGGCGGCGUGGAUGUCCAAGCAGGUGGUGAGGAUGAGGCAGUGCCGGCGGGGUCUGGCGGGCCAGAUCUGGGCGNNNNNNNNNNNNNNNNNNNNNNNNNNNNNNNNNNNNNNNNNNNNNNNNNNNNNNNNNNNNNNNNNNNNNNNNNNNNNNNNNNNNNNNNNNNNNNNNNNNNCCUACCAUAGGGGGAGAUCAUUCAAGGACCUCUUAUCCAUACCUAAGGGGGCGAACAUUCAAUGAGCCCUACACAAUAUCUAAGGGGGAGAAAAGUUAAAUUCAAGGAACCCUUACAAAAGAGAGAAGUAUCCAGGAUCCCUAUCUCUCAAUGAGCCCUUACCCUCUGCCUUUCUUUUUGGUAAUUAUGCCAAAGGGGGAGAAAUAUCAUUAAAUCUUCCAUUCAAUGAACCUACUUAUAGGGGAGACAUAUCAUCAAGAAGGUUAUACAAAAGAGGGAGCAACAACACUAAGGGGAGAUACCGAUAUCAAAUCUUACACGUUAAGGGGGAGAGAGAUAAACAUGGAUUUAUUGGUUUGAACUUAUUUUCCGUGCCUACUGCCAAUAUCUACAUGCUAUGUUUCACAGGGAGAGGAAACUUUACGUAUUUAUCUUUAGGGGAGAAAACUUCUUUGUGGGGACCCCGACUUACGAGUCGAGAUCGCCGUGCUCAGUGAUCCCAGAGAUCAAUGCUCACCGAACACAGAUACCGAAUAAAAGAGUCUUACAUCCAAGUAUCGAUUUAUUACAACACAUGACCGAAGGGUCAAGUUCACAAACAGGGCCUAACGACAAAUCAUACUGAUACAUCUAAUAGCGGAAAUCAUAGGGGCUAAGCGGGUGCCCAUGCCAUCAAGCCUACACCGACAUGCAUUCUGACUCGGAAGCAUCCUAGUUCGUAGGGGCGUCUCCGAAGACGUGCUCAUCUCCAAACUCCGGUCCUUCCAUGUCUGGUCAAUGAUAUAACCAGUGGCAAGCCAUGAGUACUUUUGAAUGUACUCGCAAACAGCCCAUGAUAUGAACAAUGAAAGUGAAGGACGACAAUAACAUGCAUCUUUGGUGGAAUUCAUUUCGUUGGAAUGAUCAUGAAUAUGCAUCAAGUUAAAGAAUUACUUUUGAAUAACAGGUUACAGAUAUCAAUAUAUCUGUCGUGGGCUGAACCAUCCGGGCUCACCCUAUAUGCAAAGUCACCAAACUUGGUCAUAUCAUUACUUUCAUAAUAACUCCUUUUUCAACACCACUCACACACACUUGGUUUAUGCGGAAACAACUGGACGUAGUUUAAGAAGGAUUACCCAACUGUCCUUGACCAUGGACACGACUAUUCGAAUAGUUUUACACUGUGCAGAGGUAGUACGCUGGACCCACGAGAUCCCGGAAACUUCCGCGUCAUCCACGACUCGCGUAUAUAACAUACCCGAGGUAAGUACUCGAUCAAUGCCUUUCCCGUGACGUUACUAGACAAGGAGGUCCACUCGAUUGGUACCCAGCUCACAUGUUGUACGUCUUAUGAGCACCGACUCUGGACAGUAUCAACCAUGCGGGGACCAACGGUGUGCCUGGAACUCAUAAAAAUGGCAUAGUUGUCCUACCUGGCACGACCCCAUCACGAGAGUGACCACACAUCACUCCCGCNNNNNNNNNNNNNNNNNNNNNNNNNNNNNNNNNNNNNNNNNNNNNNNNNNNNNNNNNNNNNNNNNNNNNNNNNNNNNNNNNNNNNNNNNNNNNNNNNNNNGAACGAGCAGCUUUCCUGCAUCAGCCAAACCCCGCCAGGGCCAGCCCACACAGCGCCACAGGCCGCUCGCUCGCUAUGCAUCGAGGACACCAACUGUACGAACGUUGCACCGCCGCCGCAUCCGAUCUCGGCGAAAUCUCCUGGAUGCUCAAGACCUGCAGGCUGCAGCCACCGCUUCUGAUUGCCUUCCAUCCUCUAAAUCAACAGUCUGUCGCCUCUUCGUAACCUUGCUCAUGAUACCACUUGUUAGAAUAAAACCGAGGCACUCCGUCAAUCAUCCGAGGACCAGGCAAUCACACGAGCACGACACCAAGAUUUAUUAACGAGGUUCACCGAUAUGGCUACAUUCCCGAGUCAUGACUACGGGCGCUCCUCCCCGUGACACCGUCACAACACCGCACCCUGGGCGCCUUGGGUACCGACACACGCCGCCGGCUCCCCAUGCACACCUGUGCUAUUAUGUUGGCAUAUGUUACAUCGUGUGUCUACCCCCGCUAUAUAUGAGGGGCCUAGGAUAUAAGUUGUCAUGUUUGGACACGACUCCAUAUCCUAUCUAAACACAAUACAACUACAAGUCCAACUGUAACAUACCUUGUACACAAUAUUCGACACAACUCUAACAUGUGUGAUGGCCGGGACUCCCAUAGUCUAAUAUUUGAUGAUGAUUGUUUGAUCUUCGGGAGAUCAUCCUAGAACAGCUUGGGUUAGUGAAGAUUGAAGAAAAUACCAUUUGCAUCAUGGCUCGAUAAACACCAUGCCCCACGGUGGGCGUCAACUGUCGUGGUAACGAUUUCGACAAUAGAAAUGGGGUAGGAUAAAGGAGCAUGAUCUAUCGGGAUGCAAAUGGGUGACACGGUGGUUUAGCGAGUUCAUGCCUCUCACGGUGGAGAUAACAACCCUACGUCUCGUGCUCCGGAGAGGCUUAGUUUUAUCUGUCAUGGACAUGAGUUACAUGGUAUAGAGAGAGCCAGAGCUCCAGAGAAAGAAUGAGCCCGCAGGCGGAGAAGAAGCUGGUCCUAGCUAUGUGGAGGAGGGUGGCUUAUAUAGAAUGCGCCACCCCCUCACCUCUUAUGUUACAAGAUGAGGCAUUAUGUCAUAAUGUCAGCCCACUACAGAACCUCCUCUAUGCUUCGACUGCCUUGCCGACUGUUGGUAUUUGCAUACCCGAGUGANNNNNNNNNNNNNNNNNNNNNNNNNNNNNNNNNNNNNNNNNNNNNNNNNNNNNNNNNNNNNNNNNNNNNNNNNNNNNNNNNNNNNNNNNNNNNNNNNNNNAACAUAGGAAUGCGUGUGUAUUUGAUCAUGUCACUCCGUCGCUCUCCGAGCUCUCGGAUAGGAUCAAAGAUGAGAUGAGGUGUUGGGCUAGAGCCGGGGACAAGGGGCUUAGGGUAGUCUUGCCCCCAUCCUGGGAUGUCCAUUAAACUACUUGUAACCUGCUGUAAUCGUCUCCUAGGAGGCUGUAACUUCCCUUCUUUUCAAUACAAAGAAACGCAAAUCUCUGCGUUUUCUCGAAAAAAAAAAUCUUCAUACCUAGCCAUGUUAUCUCAUCUAUUUAUUUUUUUGGCCCAUAACUGCUGCAUAUCUGGCUAGGCUUUGUUUGAGAAAAAAGCAAAUCAAUAUAUAGCUUCUACUGAUUAAGAUAUUGGGCAGGUGUGUACACCAGAUGAUGCUUGUAGGAUUGGCAAAAUAGGCGAGCUUUUUGUUUAUGAGAACUUCGGACGCGUUCCAGUUGAAUCUGUUAGUGCUGGUGACAUUUGUGCUGUAUGUGGAAUCAAUGAUAUCAUGGUUGGUGCUCCUCAUGUUCAUUCAUAUAUUUAGUACUCCCUCUGUCCCAAAAUAAGUGACUNNNNNNNNNNNNNNNNNNNNNNNNNNNNNNNNNNNNNNNNNNNNNNNNNNNNNNNNNNNNNNNNNNNNNNNNNNNNNNNNNNNNNNNNNNNNNNNNNNNNCUAGCGGCGCAGGUGCCGGCGGGGUGCGGGCGACCUCGCAGUACGAGCGCGUGCUAACUCAAACAUACAUAGCUUAAUUUCCAUGACAUGGAUUUGAGCAUCUUAGAAUAAAUGUCCUUCCCAUAGAAUGGAUUGAAGCAUCUCAAAGGUAUGCUUAAUCAUAGAUGAAAAUACAACUAUAGUAAAACAAAAUUAGACCCAAUUUAUAGUAUUAUAGCUUAGGAGGUAUUGUGUAAAUGUAAUCCAGCGUAAGUGCAUAACGAUAGCAAAUGAAGCAUUGCAAAUGAUACAUGAAAAUUUGACAUAUAAACGACAAACUUUAUACUCACAAGCAUUUGGAGGGCACCAUCUUUCUCAAUGCGUGGUUCAGGUAUACAUCUAAGAAUAGCCUCAAAAAGGGGUCCAAGAUCAUCAGCCAGAUUAUCCGCGGAGAUCCCAGCCUUUCCUUUGAGGCCAAUUGCAUAGACUGUUUGGAAAUCGCACUAUUGUUGGCAAAAAAAUAACAUGACUACUAGGAUAUGACCAGUGUUAAAACCUAAUACUCAAAAAACUAUAAGUCAAAUGAAAAACAAUCCAGGCAUAGCUCCUCACCUGUUCAUCUGUUGCAUUUAAUUCGAUGAAUAGCUCAAACGUUGAAUUAACUACAAACUCUGGACGAGCAAUAGGUCUGUCAACCUUGUUUACAACUACCACAACAGCAUGUCCAAAUUCUAGAGCUUUCUUCAGAACAAAUCUUGUUUGCGGCAUAGGUCCCUCCACAGAAUCAACCUACAUAGGAGAAAGGCUUAAUGAAUCAGAUGGUCAUUCACAUGUUGCCUCAAGUGACCCUAGACACUAUUUGGAAAAUAUGUUUGACAGGAUCAUGGGAGACAUGUAGUAGAAGAUUGAACAGAUACAGUCAUGCUCAUAGGAAUUCAAAUGUGUGUCCUCAAAAAAGUCGUAGGCAUUAAAUAAGAAACAUGCCAUUUAAUAAAAAGAAAGCAGUAGCUAGUAGCAUAGUACCACUAGGAGAAUUCCUUCCACCAUGUUGAGAACACGUUCCACCUCCCCACCAAAAUCUGAAUGCCCAGGGGUAUCAAUUAUAUUGAUUUUAGUACCCUUAUAGGUUAUGGAUGUAUUUUUGCUCAGUAUAGUAAUUCCUCUUUCCCUCUCCAGAUCAUUAGAGUCCAUUAUCCUUUCCUGCACAACUUGAUUGUCUCGGAAAACCUGCAUAAGGUAAACAGUCAGAGUAAUAAGACAACUGAAAAUUUUAUAUUAAAUACACUCUAGAUUUGUGCUACAACAUGGUGAUUCAACAGAAAUAAGUCACACAGAAAGAAAAUACAUCUGAGCUUAGCUGUUAAUACUACUAAAGCCUGCAAUUUUGUGUCACAACUCACAACACAUUAGUUUUGACUCACACAGGAUAGGAGAUAAACUGAAGAAUGACACAACAAACAAAAGUAACCCAGAUAUUUUGUGGAGAAAACCCACACAACCAAAAAUAAGUAGGUAUGCACAACAGUUUCAGGCGGGUGACUGAGUGAUAUAGGAAUAGCCUCCACAGCACCUACGGGACUCUAAACAACCAUCACUCAAACCAGUUCUAUGAACCUAACAGACUGAACAAGAGUAAAGACAAUAAUUUAGAGCCCAUACAAACAAAGCGAAAGCAACCCACCAAGACCAGACCAAAAAAUCAGUUCUAUAUUAAACUAACAAACCAAACAAGAACAAACUUCAAGGAAUCAAACGGAACAAAAAUAGGGCAAUAUGUGGGAAGAGCUUGUCUUAUACUAUUUGCAUAAGUGUAUGCUUGCCUCCUAAGUAAAGCUUCCAUCACUGAGAAAUGCAAUUCGUAGCCAACUUACUUGGAGUAAAUUAGCCUCACAGAGAAAAACAUAGUACUGCUGGGAUGUACCUUGGAUUGUCUUAACAUUGAAUCCACCAAAGUUGUCUUCCCAUGAUCAACAUGAGCAACAAUUGCAAUAUUUCUUACAUCUCUUCUAGUUGCUUGACUACUCGUCCCUGCUGAAUAAUCCAGUGAAGUAUAUAAAUUAGCAUCAUCCAAAAAGAAGUGAAGUGAAUAUACGUAGGAAAAUUUCAUGGAGAACACUUUUGAAACAAUAAGCAGUGGGCUCAGAACGUAGCAAGUCAAACUCUUCUUUUUCAAAACUAAAGUACCAGGUGAAANNNNNNNNNNNNNNNNNNNNNNNNNNNNNNNNNNNNNNNNNNNNNNNNNNNNNNNNNNNNNNNNNNNNNNNNNNNNNNNNNNNNNNNNNNNNNNNNNNNNUCGAUCAUCACGUGGUGUCUCGAAACGAAGAACUAUCGCAACGGUGCACAGUAGGGGCGAACAUAAUUUCGUCUUAAAAUUUUAGUGAGAGAUCACCUCAUAAUGCUACCGUCGUUCUAAGCAAAAUAAUUUGCAUAAAGGAUUAACAUCACAUGCAAUGCAUAAGUGACAUGAUAUGGCCAUCAUCUUGUGCUUCUUGAUCUCCAUCACCAAAGCACCGGCACGAUCUUCUUGUCACCGGCGCCACACCAUGAUCUCCAUCAUCGUGAUCUCCAUCAACAUGUCACCAUCGAGGUUGUCGGGCUACUUAUGCUAUUACUACUAAAGCUACGUCCUAGCAAUAUAGUAAACGCAUCUGCAAACACAAACGUUAGUUUAAAGACAACCCUAUGGCUCCUGUCAGUUGCAGUACCAUCGACGUGAAAGUCGAUAUUAACUAUUACAACAUGAUCAUCUCAUACAUCCAAUAUAUCACAUCACGUCAUUGGCCAUAUCAUAUCACAAGCAUACCCAACAAGUUAGACAUCCUCUAAUUUGUUGUUGCAUGUUGUACGUGGCUGCUAUGGGUAUCUAGUAUGAUCGCAUCUUACUUACGCAAAAAACCACAAGGAAGAUGUGCAAAUUGCUAUUUAACCUCUCCAAGGACCGCCUCGGUCAAAACCAAUUCAACUAAAGUUGAAGAAACCGACACCCGUCAGUCAUCUUUACGCAACGAGGUUGCAUGUCAAUCAAUGAAACCAGUCUUUCGUAAGCGUACGAAUAAUGUCGGUCUGGGCCGCUUCAAUUCAACAAUAUCGGCGAAUCGAUAAAACACUAAGGAGGGCAGCAAAUCGAACAUCAUCGUCCACAAAACCCUUUGUAUUCUACUCGAGAUAACAUCUACGCAUGAACCUAGCUCAUGAUGCCACUNNNNNNNNNNNNNNNNNNNNNNNNNNNNNNNNNNNNNNNNNNNNNNNNNNNNNNNNNNNNNNNNNNNNNNNNNNNNNNNNNNNNNNNNNNNNNNNNNNNNGUCACUCGUCCGGAUAUCUCUUAUCCGGUUCAUAUUCUGAGUCAGUUCGUCUCUGCUCCCACAUCGGUUCACUAUAGUCAUCUCCUUCGUGUUCUCUGAUAUCUUCGGGGCACGAUCUCUCACCGUCUAUUCUUUCCUCGCUCCAGUUCUUUACAGCUUCAGGCCUAUUCAGAUGCUACGUGGGCUAGUGAUCCUUCAGAUCGCUGUUCCCUUUCUGCUUACUGUUUUUUUCUUGAUGGUUCUCUCAUUGCCUGGAAGACGAAGAAACAGAUUGCAGUUUCCCUUUCGAGUGUAGAGGCUGAGUUGCGAGCGAUGGCUCUUUUGACGGCAGAGGUGACUUGGUUACGGUGGUUACUUCAGGAUUUUGGUGUUUCUGUCACUACAUCGACUCUUUUCUUAUCUGACAGUAUAGGUGCUAUUAGCAUUGCGCGCGAUCCUGUGAAGCAUGAGCUCAUGAAGCAUAUUGGUGUUGAUGCUUUCUAUGUGCGCGCUGCUGUGCAGGAUCAGGUUGUUGCUCUUCAGUAUGUGCCUUCCGAGUUACAGUUGACGGAUUUCCUGACGAAGGCCCAGACUACAGCUCAACAUGGCUUUUAUCUCUCCAAACUCAGUGUUGUUCACCCACCAUGAGUUUGAGGGGGGGGUGUUAGAGUUAUAAUAUAAGUCAUGUAUCCUUUUGUAUUUAUCCCAAUAUAUAAGGGGUUUCCUGCAUAUAGUCCANNNNNNNNNNNNNNNNNNNNNNNNNNNNNNNNNNNNNNNNNNNNNNNNNNNNNNNNNNNNNNNNNNNNNNNNNNNNNNNNNNNNNNNNNNNNNNNNNNNNAGGAUCAGUCCGGACAUCAGGAAAAUCAUCCACAAGUUCAUCAUGAGUCGCUGCUCAGUCUUUGUCAAGUUCUGGGACAGAGGUGCUCAUACCAAACACCUCAGCUGCUUUAGGAGCAGAAGACAAGUUGCCAGUUUUCCUUUUCUUUGCUUGUGCUCUGAGAUGAAAAGACACCAAGAUAGGACAGGUAUCAGUAUUGGGAAGGAAAAAUGUUAGUAAAAGAACUUACCCCUGUACACGAAUCAUUAGGGGGAGAGCCGACAUUACUGAGUCACCAGAUGAAGGAGGAGAAACCUGAUGGACAAGAAUUCAAGGAGUGAACGAACGGCGAGCAACAUUUUUCACAAGGGAAAGGUGCUAGUAGGAGUAUACCUCACUUUGCCGUUUUUGACCAGUUGUCUUUUCGGGUAACCCAUAAACUAAGUCGCCGGAAUGGCUUCGGGUAUGACGUUUGGGGGUAUACCUCGCCUUCUUCAAAAGGAAAUUGGGGUCCACCUGAGCAUUUGGGUGAGACAUGGGAACUUUUGCACACAUCCGCCUGGCCAACUUGGGAGAAGAAGAAGUUGAGUCGGAAGAAAUAGAAAUUACCUCGACAGCGUCAUCUUGGCUAUCAUAGUCAUCAUACUAUGAAUGAAGGUAACGGGGCAUAAGCAUAAGUCAGAAUAUAGUGAUAACAAACAAGAGGGUAAACUUUUACCUUUGAUUGUUCUUCGCCGGCUCGAGACUCGCCAACGACAGAUGACUCCUUGGCGGCGGCUUUGCCCUUGCUCUUCUUUUUCUUCUUAGGAGGCGGCUUGGUUGCUUUCUGGACAGUCACUUUGGGCCUUCGAGACCAAAAUGCAGAUCCUUUCUGAUUGAUAUAAUGACAGUUCAAAUCUGGAACAUUGGUGAAUAUAUUGAAAGAAUAAAAGAAGGCGACUUAGGUUGUUACCACGGGAGCCGGGUUGGAGAGGCAGAAAGGCUUGAGCCCAAUCUUGGUGCAGUUCUCUAAAGGCACGCUCGUUAACUUCUUGAUCAUUUCAACAAUGUCUUCUUCAGUAAGUCUUGUAUGGAAGAAACAUUGGGGGUGAUCCAAGCUACCAUCAUACUCACACAUCAGGCCAUCCCGGCGACUCAAAGGCAGAAUCCUCCACUCCACUCAACAACGGACUAGGUCAAUCCCAAUAAGCCCAUUGUUGGUCAAAGACCUUAGCUGGGAGAAAGCAGGGAUAAAGGUUGAUUCUUCUUCUUUAGUUAGUUUUUCUGGCAGCUUGAAAUCCAUGGGCAAGCGCUCUUCUCUGAAACCCGGAAGUGGGUUCUCGUUGGGAGGAGAUGUGUCACGGCAAUAGAACCAAGACUCUGCCCAGCCUUUGGGAUGGUUGGGUAGAACGACAGGUGGGAACCCACAUUCGCGACGUCGUUGGAUGUUAACCCCCCCCCCCAAGUUCCAAGCAAGGCCUGCUNNNNNNNNNNNNNNNNNNNNNNNNNNNNNNNNNNNNNNNNNNNNNNNNNNNNNNNNNNNNNNNNNNNNNNNNNNNNNNNNNNNNNNNNNNNNNNNNNNNNUGAGCCACCACGGAGCGUCGCUGGGCGCGCACACCUUAACCGUGAUCGCGUUUUGGGUGAAUAGGGAGUCGGAGAUGGUGACAGCCCUACUCUUCCAAGCGAUAAGAAUACCGCCGCGGGUGCCGUCGGCCGGGAGGUAUGAAGAUUACAAUGAUGGUUUCUAAUUAUUAAGAUUGCAAUUACCUUUGGCAGAGAAAACUAAAUUUCAAGUACUACCAAUAGCUAGUCUACCGUCAUUAUUAAGGGGCUCUUUGAUUAUAAGGAAUUCCAUAGGUAUUUUGAAGGAUUGGCCGUUUGAUACAUAGGAUUGAAUCCUAUAGGGUUUUUUCCUAAGGAUUCCUUUGUACUACAUUCCAUAGGAAUUUUAGCAUCCACUCAAACCUCUUGGAAAGAAUCCUUUGUUUUUCCUGUGAUGCAAUCGAACAAACAAAAAUCAUGUAGGAUUCAAAUGGGCAUGACACUGCAAUCAUAUGGUUUUCCUAUUCAUAUGGUAUUAAAAUCCUGGAAAUCAAAGAGGCCCUAACAUAUUUAGUUUAAAAAACUAUAGACUGGAAUGUUUUUUCAUUAACCGAGAUUUGUAAUAGUUGCUCACAUAUAUGCACCAUAUGGGGAGCCAAUGAGAAAGGUGUGCAUUAACUGGGCUUCCAAAGAAGACCUAGAGCUUACUCAGAACUGGAAAUACUAAAAUGGUUGCAUGAUCUUAUAUAGUUGGUAUACUCUCUUAAUACCUCCACAAACCUUAGCAUUGAUAAAAAGAAGGUAACCUUAAAAAAUAUAAGACUGAGACAUGUUGGUACUAAUAAAAGCUGCUCUAUAUUCCAUAGUCAUGAAAAGAAAUUCAUCUGCUUUGAGGCGUCAAUUAGGUAACAUUUUUCCAUAAAAUACAUCUACUGAGACAGCAUAUACCACCUUAUCAUAAUUUAUUUAUUUUCCACAAAUUCACUCAGUGCCAUCACAAUUGCCUUGAGUUGGAACAUAGCAUAACAAAGAAGGUUGAUUUCACUAUGCUAUUGUUAGAGUGCGUGAUGGGCCUGGGCCCGUUAGUCUUAGGGUUUGCUUGGGGGUCAAGUAAGCCUUACUUGAAAGUCAAGUAAACCUCUCUAUAUAUGGAGAGGAGACGUAUCAAUCUAAGCAGGCAAGAAUUAAGAAGGAAACCCCUUUUCCCUCUUGCCCGGCCGUGGGAAAGGACCCCACGGCCGGCUCNNNNNNNNNNNNNNNNNNNNNNNNNNNNNNNNNNNNNNNNNNNNNNNNNNNNNNNNNNNNNNNNNNNNNNNNNNNNNNNNNNNNNNNNNNNNNNNNNNNNGAAAAAUGACUGAGUGUUUUGGUGGCUAACUUUGAGCAUUUGAGCAAUCAGUUCAUUUUACUACCUCGCCCCCUUUUAAUAGUAUUGGCUUUCCUAUGGACUCAAAAGUGAUUUCUCACAAAUAUAAAAUGAAGAGUCUUCUAGCUUGAAGCUUGAGCCAAUAUUAUUCCUUUCUUGCAUCCAGGGGCAUCUCCACAUAGACCUUAGGCCAUAACUCUUCAUGGACUAAACCUGAAAUAUCUAGGUAAAAGUGUUAGUCCAAGAGGCAAUGUAUGUUGUCAUGAAUUAUCAAAAUCACCAAGGGAGCAUAUGUGCUUUCAAUCUCCCCCUUUUUGGUAAUUAUGACAACAUACAAUCAAAGCUUCAAAUAAAGAUACUCAUAGGGAUAUGACAACUUUGACAGACAUAUGACUAGUACAAGCUCCCCCUAAAUGUGUGCAAUCCCUUUAAAGGAUAGUUGCUUUGGAAUGCAUGGGCACACACAAGGUAGAAGGACAAGACAAGCCAUAUGGAUCUUGGCUAUAUGCAUCAAACAUAUGUGAAUGAAGAACUUCCAUGUUCAAGACUCCCUCUUGGAAACAAUAUGUGUAAGAGACAAGAGGUCACCAUGAACAAGGAUAUGAUGCAUAUACUUACCUUGAGGAUCUUGAGCGUCUUGAAUAGGAGUACACUUGGGAAAACAAAUGUUAGAUAACACAAUAGUACCCUAUUGUAAAGAUGCAAAGAACUUCAAAAGUACCAAGAAAUUAAAGAAAUAUGUCUUUAAUAAACAAGAAUGUAACACCCUGUUUUACCACCACUUCCCUGUAAUGCAAAAAUCUGAUCUUGUUAAAACUUUUCAAAAUUAAUGUUGUGAGUGCCAUGGUUGUCAUUGUAUGCUUGUGUGUUUGAUCAUGUGAUGAUAAACCCCCAUUUCACAAAUAUUGGAUUAUUUUCAAAACCUUCUUUUGUUUCAGAUCAAGGUAAAACCCUACUUUGAGUUGCACUACUUGCCCUUGAUGGCAAGGUUGGUUUCUACCCAAAGUUGGUGAUCUGAUUUUUAACUUAUUUUAGUAUUUCAAAACCAGAAAAUAAUUAUUUUUAGAGCUGUUUCCUAAUUUAAUUGCAUGUCUAUUUCUCAGGCCAGAAAUAGUAAUCGUUCAUGGAAAAAAUACUUUUCUGCCUUAGAAAAAUCUGAUUAAAUUUGGUGAUGAUCAGAAGGACAUAUAUUUUCCAUACAUAAGAUUUUUAACCCUAUUUUAUAUUAUAAUUAUUUGAAUAAAACCCUGGAACAUUUCUGUCUGUUUUGACCUUUUGAAAUAUUUCCAAAGGAAAUAUUCCCAAUAAAAUCCUAGAAAAUUCGAGUGGUAUCCCUAAGCCACAUUUGGUGUCCACAUACAGUUUCACCUAGAUCCAANNNNNNNNNNNNNNNNNNNNNNNNNNNNNNNNNNNNNNNNNNNNNNNNNNNNNNNNNNNNNNNNNNNNNNNNNNNNNNNNNNNNUCCACAUACAGUUUCACCUUGAUCCAAG
rnacentral:lncRNA from 1 species